rnacentral:rRNA from 1 species
GACGAACGCUGGUGGCGUGCUUAACACAUGCAAGUCGAACGGAAAGGCCCCUUUGGGGGUACUCGAGUGGCGAACGGGUGAGUAACACGUGAGUAACCUGCCCUUGACUUCGGGAUAACUUCAGGAAACUGGGGCUAAUACCGGAUAGGAAUCCUUGCUGCAUGGUGGGGGUUGGAAAGCUUCGGCGGUUUUGGAUGGACUCGCGGCUUAUCAGCUUGUUGGUGGGGUAGUGGCUUACCAAGGCUUUGACGGGUAGCCGGCCUGAGAGGGCGACCGGCCACAUUGGGACUGAGAUACGGCCCAGACUCCUACGGGAGGCAGCAGUGGGGAAUAUUGCACAAUGGGCGGAAGCCUGAUGCAGCAACGCCGCGUGCGGGAUGACGGCCUUCGGGUUGUAAACCGCUUUCAGCAGGGGCGAAGCUUGUGGUGACGGUACCUGCAGAAGAAGCACCGGCUAACUACGUG